rnacentral:rRNA from 1 species
AUGCAAGUCGAACGAACCUUCGGGUUAGUGGCGGACGGGUGAGUAACGCGUGAGAAUCUGCCCUCAGGAGGGGGAUAACAGCUGGAAACGGCUGCUAAUACCCCAUAUGCCGCGAGGUGAAAUGAAUUUCGCCUGAGGAUGAGCUCGCGUCUGAUUAGCUAGUUGGUGUAGGUAAUGGCUCACCAAGGCAUCGAUCAGUAGCUGGUCUGAGAGGAUGAUCAGCCACACUGGGACUGAGACACGGCCCAGACUCCUACGGGAGGCAGCAGUGGGGAAUUUUCCGCAAUGGGCGAAAGCCUGACGGAGCAACGCCGCGUGAGGGAUGAAGGCCUCUGGGCUGUAAACCUCUUUUAUCAAGGAAGAAGAUCUGACGGUACUUGAUGAAUAAGCCACGGCUAAUUCCG